rnacentral:rRNA from 1 species
UACAGAGGUCCCAAGCGUUGUUCGGAUUCACUGGGCGUAAAGGGUGCGUAGGUGGCCAGGUAAGUCGGAUGUGAAAUCUCGGAGCUCAACUCCGAAACUGCAUUGGAAACUGCCUGGCUAGAGGGUUGGAGGGGGGACUGGAAUACUUGGUGUAGCAGUGAAAUGCGUAGAUAUCAAGUGGAACACCAGUGGCGAAGGCGAGUCCCUGGACAACUCCUGACACUGAGGCACGAAAGCUAGGGGAGCAAACAGG